rnacentral:rRNA from 1 species
UACGUAGGGGGCAAGCGUUGUCCGGAAUGACUGGGCGUAAAGCGCGCGCAGGCGGUUUCUUGCGUCUGAGGUGAAAGGCCAGGGCUCAACCCUGGGAUGGCCUUGGAAACGGGGGAACUUGAGGGUCGGAGAGGCAAGGGGAAUUCCACGUGUAGCGGUGAAAUGCGUAGAGAUGUGGAGGAAUACCAGUGGCGAAGGCGCCUUGCUGGACGAAACCUGACGCUGAGGCGCGAAGGCGUGGGGAGCAAACAGG